rnacentral:rRNA from 1 species
UAAAAAGUAGGUAAUUUAGGUAGUAUUAGAUGACUUGAAACUUAAAAAAUUUGGCGGUGUUUUAAUCUUAUUAGAGGAACCUGUUUUAUAAUCGAUAAUACUCGACAAAUCUUACUUUGAUUAAUGACUUGUAUAUCGUUGUGAUAAUAAUAUUUUAUAAUUAUUAUUAGGGGUAAUUUUAUUUUUAAUAUCAGAUCAAGGUUCAGUUUAUGUCUAAGUAAAAAAUAGGUUACAAUAUAAAAAUAUAAUACGAAGUUUAUGCUUAAAAAGUAAAUGAAGGUGGAUUUAAAAGUAUUUUUAUAGUAAUAUGUUAAUUUGAACUAGCUCUAAAACAUGC